GCGGUUGUGGCGGAAUGGCAGACGCGUCAGAUUAAGGAUCUGGUGGGAUAUAUUUCCCGUGCUGGUUCAAGUCCAGUCAGCCGCA
rnacentral:tRNA from 2 species